rnacentral:lncRNA from 1 species
GGACACACCUGGGGCGUUUGAACUUUUCACAGAGGUCGUUGGAACAUUCUGUCGUUAUUCCAGGAGCUGUUAUUUUUUUCCAUGAGAGUUCCGGGAGCGGCCACCUGCAGGGGACGGGAGCACCCAAGGUGACGAGCCCAUGUUCUUAUAGACAGCUAGUAAUUUUUUACUCUUCAGAAGCAAUAUCUGGGAAAUAUUAACAGUGACACAGGUUUUUGUUAUGUGUAAGUGACUGGUGAAAGGUAAAUGAAUUGUAAGGGAUUCUCCUGUGUAGCAUGGGCUGAACAACAAACAAAAUGAAAAGAACUAGCACGGACACCUUCUUAAUGCAGCAAGGAUCCCAAAGUCCUUGAGGACUACAUCUCCGGGUACCAGAAGGCACAAAAGAAGAGAAGAACCCAUCAAUCCUCCCAGCUGAUACCUAUGAAUCACAACAAAGACCUGCAUGGCGUGAUAACACUAUGGGUGCAGUAGUGGCAUGGAUACCUUAGCAGAGCCCUCAUCCAGUGGCUGAUGGAAGCAGAGACAGACAUCCACAAAAAUAUACUCAACUGAACUCUGGAACUUCGUUGAAGAGAGUGAGGAAUGAAGAUCGAAUGGAUUGGUAUCAGGUUGGAGAAACCCACAGAAACAGAUGGCCUGAACAAGGAGGAGUACAUCGACUCCAGAUGUUGUCUGGGAGGUCAGUACAGGACUGAUCCAGACCCCUGAACAUGGAUGUCAAUGAGGAGGCCUCAGCACUCCAUGGGGCCCCUAGUAGUGGAUUAGUAUUUUCUCCUGGUGUAAGAAUGGACUUUGAGAGCCCAUCCCAUGUGAAAGGAUGCACUCUUAUCCCUGGACACAUGGGGAAGGGCCCAGGCCCAGCCCAGGAUGAUGUGGUGGACUUUUUGGAUCCCCCGUUGAGGGCCCUACUCUGCCUGGUGGAGUGGUGGAUGGACAGGGUGUCGGGUAGUCGGGUGUGGGGGAAUAUUGAUGGGGGUGUGGGGAGGCAGAGGGAGACGGGAUU